GAUGAACGCUAGCUACAGGCUUAACACAUGCAAGUCGAGGGGAAACGACAUCGAAAGCUUGCUUUUGAUGGGCGUCGACCGGCGCACGGGUGAGUAACGCGUAUCCAACCUGCCCAUCACUUGGGGAUAACCUUGCGAAAGUAAGACUAAUACCCAAUGACGUCUCUAGAAGACAUCUGAAAGAGAUUAAAGAUUUAUCGGUGAUGGAUGGGGAUGCGUCUGAUUAGCUUGUUGGCGGGGUAAACGGCCCACCAAGGCGACGAUCAGUAGGGGUUCUGAGAGGAAGGUCCCCCCACAUUGGAACUGAGACACGGUCCAAACUCCUACGGGAGGCAGCAGUGAGGAAUAUUGGUCAAUGGGCGAGAGCCCUGAACCAGCCAAGUAGCGUGCAGGAAGACGGCCCUAUGGGUUGUAAACUGCUUUAUAGGGAAUAAAGUGAGCCGACGUGUGGUUUUUUGCUAUGUACCCUAUGAAUAAGGACCGGCUAAUUCCGUGCCAGCAGCCGC
rnacentral:rRNA from 1 species